rnacentral:rRNA from 1 species
AUUGAACGCUGGCGGCAUGCUUUACACAUGCAAGUCGAACGGCAGCGCGGGCUUCGGCCUGGCGGCGAGUGGCGAACGGGUGAGUAAUACAUCGGAACGUGCCCAGCAGUGGGGGAUAGCUCGGCGAAAGCCGGAUUAAUACCGCAUAAGACCUGAGGGUGAAAGCGGGGGAUCUUCGGACCUCGCGCCAUUGGAGCGGCCGAUGGCAGAUUAGCUAGUUGGUGGGGUAAAGGCCUACCAAGGCGACGAUCUGUAGCUGGUCUGAGAGGACGACCAGCCACACUGGGACUGAGACACGGCCCAGACUCCUACGGGAGGCAGCAGUGGGGAAUUUUGGACAAUGGGCGAAAGCCUGAUCCAGCAAUGCCGCGUGUGUGAUGAAGGCCUUCGGGUUGUAAAGCACUUUUGGCGGGAACGAAAAGGACUGUGCCAAUACCACGGUUCGAUGACGGUACCCGCAGAAUAAGCACCGGCUAACUACGUG